rnacentral:lncRNA from 1 species
CCCCCCUCAACAAGUAAUUUCGAAAGCUGCAUAAGACGAAGGCAGUAAUUUCGAAUUCAAUGCCCACGCAACAAGUAAACAUAAAGUUCAAGAAACGAUACCAUUGCACGGCUACAAGUGCAUUGGACACAUCCAAUUAAAACCCAAGCAAACACCAAAAACUAGUGCAACAAAUAGGCCAACCAAAGCAUCUUGCCUUUUGUCCUAUAAUACUCAUUUCAAUUUGGUUUUACAAUUUAAACAGAGGCCAAUUUUUUUGUUGGACCAAAGUGGUGAUGAUGAUGAUAACCACAAUGCAGAGAAUUGACAUUGAAAAUAUAUAUAUAUAUGUUAAAAGUAAAUAAAAUACAUUACACACAAUAUCAAGAAUUCCUACUCUAAACCUUCUACAGCUUAAGA